GAUGAAGAACGCAGCGAAAUGCGAUAAGUAAUGUGAAUUGCAGAAUUCAGUGAAUCAUCGAAUCUUUGAACGCACAUUGCGCCCGCCAGCAUUCUGGCGGGCAUGCCUGUUCGAGCGUCAUUUCAACCCUCAAGCUCUGCUUGGUGUUGGGGCCCUACGGUUGACGUAGGCCCUUAAAGGUAGUGGCGGACCCUCUCGGAGCCUCCUUUGCGUAGUAACUAACGUCUCGCAUUGGGAUUCGGAGGGACUCUUGCCGUAAAACCCCCAAAUUUUCUAAUGGUUGAACUCGGAUCAGGUAGGAAUACCCGCUGAACUUAAGCAUAUCAAUAAGCGGAGGA
rnacentral:misc_RNA from 1 species